AGGACUGAAGUAACCUAGCUUUGACAUCUGUCACUCCUGUGUCUGCAGAGCUGAUUUUAUCUGACUUAGCUAAUUGGAAAGGUGGCACCUUCCUCUCUCACUGAUCUACAUGUGGCUGCCUUAAACUGGUUGCUAAGGCAAAAGAAAAGUUGAUCUUCUGAGCUCAGUUUGGACUCCCCUUUGAUCAAAGGUGUCUGAAUUGCCAAGUUAUUUUAAUAGAAACUCUGGAUAUGGAAUUGCCAUUUGAAACAGCCAAAAUACCUAUUUUUAUAGCUAAGAAGAAACUCUAAAAUGCAAAGUAUGCUGUCAU
rnacentral:sRNA from 1 species